GUGCUAGGUUUGUUGGUUAUGUGGUGCUAGUGGUUGAUCAAGUGUUUAUUAACAUAUCAGUUCCAUGAAAGUUGUAAUAGAGGUAGUUAAUAUCAUCUCUUUGAAGUUUGGAUUUGAGUUGUUUUGGAUUUAAAGCUAGUCCUUUACUGUUUAGCUAUGGUUUCCUUCACAUGAUUUGUUUCCCCUUAAUUUGGCUCUAAGCUUAUUUGUAUUGGGUAGCUAAGGAUAAUUCC
rnacentral:lncRNA from 1 species